UACGUAGGGUGCAAGCGUUAAUCGGAAUUACUGGGCGUAAAGCGUGCGCAGGCGGCUUUGCAAGACAGAUGUGAAAUCCCCGGGAUCAACCUGGGAACUGCAUUUGUGACUGCAUGGCUGGAGUGCGGCAGAGGGGGAUGGAAUUCCGCGUGUAGCAGUGAAAUGCGUAGAUAUGCGGAGGAACACCGAUGGCGAAGGCGGCAUCCUGGACCAAUAUUGACGCUGAGGAGCGAAAGCCAGGGGAGCAAACGGG
rnacentral:rRNA from 1 species